rnacentral:rRNA from 1 species
AGAGGGGGCAAGCGUUGUUCGGAAUUACUGGGCGUAAAGGGCGCGUAGGCGGCCUGUUAAGUCGGACGUGAAAUCCCUCGGCUCAACCGGGGAACUGCGUCUGAUACUGGCGGGCUUGAAUUCGGGAGAGGGAUGUGGAAUUCCAGGUGUAGCGGUGAAAUGCGUAGAUAUCUGGAGGAACACCGGUGGCGAAGGCGGCAUCCUGGACCGACAUUGACGCUGAGGCGCGAAAGCCAGGGGAGCAAA